UACGUAGGGACCGAGCGUUGUCCGGAAUCAUUGGGCUUAAAGCGUGUGUAGGCGGAUCUGUAAGUACCUUGUGAAAUCCCACGGCUCAACCGUGGAACUGCUUGGUAUACUGCGGGUCUUGAGCCACCUAGGGGCAAGUGGAACAAACGGUGGAGCGGUGAAAUGCGUAGAUAUCGUUUGGAACGCCAAUGGUGAAAACAACUUGCUGGGGGUGUGCUGACGCUGAGACACGAAAGCCAGGGGAGCAAACGGG
rnacentral:rRNA from 1 species